GCCCCAUAUGUAUUACUGACAUGCUUGUCCUUGUUCAGGACUCCACACACUGGCUUCAGAUUGAACCCUUGACUUCCACUGUCCAGGGAGUGACAAUGUUCAGACACAGGACACCCAAAGGGAGUUAUGAGUGCACAGUGUCUGGGCUCCGCUGGCUGUGUGAGAGAGAUGUCAUUCUGAAGUAUCACUUCAGGAACUGGGAAGCCUACAGUCAACUUCUGAAAGACAUGCAGUACACACAAGGUGGUCCAUUGCUGGACAUCACUAUGGAGGGACCAACCCAUCCCUGAGGAAUGAGAUGAAGAUUCUUCAUGUAGAGGAACAUGGAGUGUCUUUAGAGGAAGUGCAUGAGGUCACCAGAUUCCAUGCUAAGAUUCUCCAUCCCAAGUUCUCAGCUAUCUCUGUUAUACUGAGAUAUAUAUUUUCUUGGAACGUAGAUGUCCACUGUGAGCUGAUGCUCUAUCUGACAGUGAAAAAGCAAACACUAAUUCCACGCCUAUACCUGUUCCCCAGUAACCCCGGCCAAAUACUGGCUGUGGAAGAACAGGAAUCAAAGUUUCAAGGGUCUAAAAGGAUUCCUAUCACAAGACCAGAGCAGUCCUUAAAACUGAAAAGUUCCUUCAGACUGAACAUUCCCUGUUCUACCUCCAUCUUUCCACCG